GGGAGAUACUCAAGCGGCCAACGAGGACAGACUGUAAAUCUGUUGGUGUAUUCCUUCGCAGGUUCGAAUCCUGCUCUCCCC
rnacentral:tRNA from 1 species